CAUCAAUGCAAAAAAGAAAUAAAAAUGUAUUAAAGUAUAGCUUCAAAAGGUACAACUAGCAUCUGGAAAUAGGGGUGGGUAUAGUAAUAUACAGUAGUAUAAAAUGUGUUGGCUCUGAAAAUCCUAGGACAGCUGCAAUUUACAAGUAGGGCAAUUUAGGUGUAUUUUUUUAAAACUAUCCUCAUCAGUGCCAAUUUGGGACUUUCAAAGGGAUUUAUGAAUUUAAAAUUGUUAACGAUGUGCUUAUAGCAUAUGCAAUGAUUUUUUAAAAUGAAAAUGUAAAGUUAUCAAAAUUUAGAUUGCUGAAUUCAAACAAUAACUAGUACAUUACAUUUAGAUAAUGUGAGCACCACUUAUAAGUUAUUACAAAUUAUUUCUGUAUUUGGCUUACUGUAGUUAUUGAAAGUAAUGUCAUUUAUCAUGUUACGGCAAUUGUUAAUACUUCGUACAAUCGUGAUGUACUGUGCACUUUUUUAAGCAUUUUUAAUUGUGACAGUGAGAAAAAGAGCAAGUGCCUCCCCUAUUUUAUGCAAGAGUAGUUCUAUUUGUUCAAGUUCAUGCAAUGAGUGACAGUAACUCAGGACUAGCCUUAGGUGUCCUGAUUUCCUGAUAGACUGUUUUAUCCUACUUGUCUGUCCAAUAUUUAUUUCCAAAUGAGUAUUACUUGUACUUGCAAAUAUUUAUAAAGACUUGAGUUUAAUCAGCUUGGUUUAUGUUGUUUCUAUAUACUUAUUUAGCAUUUGUAUUUUAAAAUUGUUUUGAGACAUUUUAUAAAGUCAUACCAAUUUAAGACAGGUGGCAUAUAUAUAAUGUCAAAGUAAAUAAUUAAAAUUUAUAUCCAGCAUGGGCAACCUUUGGUAAAUCUGUACUUAUAUCUUUAAUUAUUUGAUUCCACUUAAAUACCUUCCACCUAGAUAUUUAGUUUAUUAUCUUAAAUUGUCAUAAUUUUUCCUACAGGAAAGAAUUAAGAGAAUAGAACAAAUAAGAAUGGAAAAAUAACUUCGAGCCCAGCAAAUUCUAGAGGCUAAAAGGAUAAAGAAGGAAGAAGCUGCAAAUGCCAAAUUAUUGGAGGCUGAGAAACGAAAACAGG